CAGUGGUUCCUCAGCAGCUUCCUGGGCCACUUCCUCUGGCUGUGGGCAGAGAAGGGCAAGGCUGGUGAGGGCAGCCAGGAUGCCCCCCAAAUUCCUACGCUGCUGGCAACCACAAGGAGGGUGGACCUGGAGGAGAGAUGGCAACAGUGGGACCACAGGCACUGGAGGCAGCGAAGCCUGGAGAGCACCUGAGCCUUGCAGGUGAGUGAAGCUGAGGGUGGAAUCCAAAAGUGGGACAAGGAGAAGGAGGAAAAGGAAAAGGAAGAAGAGGAGACGGCAGUGGGGGC